UACGUAGGGUGCGAGCGUUAAUCGGAAUUACUGGGCGUAAAGCGUGCGCAGGCGGUUCGUUGUGUCUGCUGUGAAAGCCCCCGGGCUCAACCUGGGGAAUGGCAGUGGAAACUGGCGAGCUGGAGUGUGGCAGAGGGGGGUGGAAUUCCGCGUGUAGCAGUGAAAUGCGUAGAGAUGCGGAGGAACACCGAUGGCGAAGGCAGCCCCCCUGGGCUGACACUGACGCUCAGGCACGAAAGCGUGGGGAGCAAACAGG
rnacentral:rRNA from 1 species